CUUGUAGCUCAGGUGGUUAGAGCGCACCCCUGAUAAGGUGAGGUCGGUGGUUCAAGUCCACUCAGGCCUACCAAAUUUUCCCUGAAUACUGCGUUGUGAAAUAACUCACAUACUGAUGUAUGCUUCGUUAUUCCACGCCUUGUCUCAGGAAAAAUUAUCGGUAAAGAGGUUCUGACUACACGAUGGGGCUAUAGCUCAGCUGGGAGAGCGCCUGCUUUGCACGCAGGAGGUCUGCGGUUCGAUCCCGCAUAGCUCCACCAUCUCGUGAGUUUUACGAAAAAAUACUUCAGAGUGU
rnacentral:misc_RNA from 1 species